AUCCCGUCUGGACCCGGCCGAAGUUCCGCUACAACCUUGUGCUUCCCUGCCCGGGAUAAAAUAUCUUUACCGGCUAGAACCGGACAGGAGAGAUCCCCUUCUCCGUGUCUUCCUCCUCCCCAACAUCCCCCCUAACGGUUUAUACCCGUCAUUAUCGGAUGUGCCGGGGAGGAGCCGGGAGGAGGCCCCGGGAUCUCCGCCACAGUCUUCCCGAUCUGCACAUCACUGUGUAUCCGGGAAUAUAAAUCUGCUGCUGGGGAUCGUUCCUUCUAUUCCCGGCACCGGUCACCAUCACACGGAUCUUUACUACAACAUCUACCGUCCAGGAAGCUGAUUGCACGAUGCGGAGACGGCCUGGAGCUGCUGAGAGCCCCGGAGGGUAACACAGGCGGCGCCUCCGCUCACUGCUGGCUCACUGUCCGGUUAUAUAGAUAUAAUACGGACAACGUGUCCAUUUACUGACCCGGAGAUGAUGGGGGGAGUUGUCUACAAGUAGAUGUGAUGACUGUUCUCUCCUUCAUCUUCCUUACAGCUGCCCGACCCAUAACACCCGCAGAUGUCUCCUCAUGUCUGCAGAGAGCACUUGGCCCGGGUGCGGGGGGGGAGGAGGAGGAUUUGGACCUAGAGCUGGGGCUCCUACCCCUGGGGAUAUUCUCUCACAUCCCGGCUGUGCAGGAGGUCAGGGGGAAGGGGAUACAGAUUCUCCAUGAUGGGGAAUUAUGUGAUCUCCCUGUUGUUAUUCUUUGUAAUCUCCAACGUGUUUUGAAGCCACCGGGCAGGAGCUGUCACAGCUGAUCCGGCUUCGGGGAGUGUUCGGGCCGGGAACUGAGGAAGGAGAUGCCGCAGUUAUAAGAUCUGAUCCGGUCCUCGACUGAAGCUCUGGAAGUAGAAGUGGUCGGGUCGGAGGAUCGUGUCCGGGCUGCUCAGCGGUGAGAAAGGAGACAGUGAUAGCGGGAACCGGCGAGGACAGAGCGGAGGGAGCGGAGAGCAGUGACGGGGUCAGAGGGGCUGAAGAUGGAAGGAGAAGAACAAAGAAGUCAGAAUCCUGAUCCAGAUACAAGAGACUCCGUAUUCUCUGUAGGAUCCUUCCCCCUCACAGAAUGUCUUCUAUCCCCAGAUCCCUCGUCUGUUAAGUGAUGACCCCGAGGAUCCUAUUGUGAUUUCUCUCACAGAUUAUCUCCAUUACAGGACCUGCUUGUACAUUACCAGGAUGACAUCGGGGAUUCAUAUAUUGGUUGUAUAUAUGGUCCUGAUAACAGAGAACAUUAUACCUGGGAGAGAAAGCCCCAUCCCGGCCGCUGCACUGAUACUUCCAUGUCAUAUUUGUAUUCCACACAACAAUUGUAUGAAGCCAGCCCGCCUGCUGAAUCCCAGCUCCUGUGCUCGGGAAAGGUGGAGAGCCGCACAGCAAGCAUCAGACUGCCGACAUCCAAGAGGAACUCCAGCCCGGGCGGACAAUAACAUCUCUUCUUCUUUAUUAUCUUCUAAUUAAUAAUGUUGUCAUUGAAUACAACUAUUGGUGAUCGGGACUAAACCGCGUAGAUUCCAUUCCUACCACAAGUGCAGAGACCUGCCCAGUAUUAUCAUAAGGUGUCUGAACAGUAGGUCCCAGUUCACACAUGAGAUCGCGGCUGCACUGUCAUCUCUUGCCAGGUUUCCCCGGUCAGGGGCCGGAGGUCUCUGAUAGAAUUUCCCUUCCUUGGAAAAGAUUCAUCCUGAGCUUUUCUGUUAUUAGCGCUAUAUUCACAAGGACAAGCGUUAUAUCCAGAUCUGCUAGAUAGGAUAAGGUCACAUUCAAGUAUUUGUUUAGAGAAGCCGAAGACUUUGUCAGUGACGGGAAUCUCCUCCCCGGUAUACAGGCUCCGAUACAUGUAUCUCUAUGGGGUUUAUUUGGUUAACCUUCUGUUUAAUGCAAAUUAGAAUCGAAUCCUUAAUUGAAUUACUAGGUAACCGCGUAAUAACAGGAAACCACAGAAUUGUCGGGAACCUGAUAAUCACCAAUGUAAUUGCUGUUAAUUGACACAAGAUGUCGCUGUUGUACAAUGAAUGGAAUAAAGAACUAGAACUGUG